CCUACGGGAGGCAGCAGUGGGGAAUAUUGCACAAUGGGGGAAACCCUGAUGCAGCGACGCCGCGUGAGUGAAGACGUAAUUCGUUAUGUAAAGCUCUAUCAGCAGGGAAGAAAAUGACGGUACCUGAGUAAGAAGCCCCGGCUAACUACGUGCCAGCAGCCGCGGUAAUACGUAGGGGGCAAGCGUUAUCCGGAUUUACUGGGUGUAAAGGGAGCGUAGACGGGAGUGCAAGUCUGGCGUGAAAGGCGGGGGCUCAACCCCCGGACUGCUCUGGAAACUGUACGGCUGGAGUGCAGGAGAGGUAAGUGGAAUUCCUGGUGUAGCGGUGAAAUGCGUAGAUAUUAGGAGGAACACCAGUGGCGAAGGCGGCUUACUGGACUGUAACUGACGUUGAGGCUCGAAAGCGUGGGGAGCGAACAGGAUUAGAUACCCCAGUAGUC
rnacentral:rRNA from 1 species